rnacentral:rRNA from 1 species
AUGAGGUUAGGAUUCAACUGCGAUAGUGUAGACAACAACAUGUGUGAGAGCUUUAAUAAGUGGAUUAUGGAAGCUAGAUUCUUUGCUGUUAUUACUAUGCAAGAGACCAUUAGAAGGAAAAUCAUGGUAAGGAUACAAGAGAACAAUGACAAGUGGCCAAAGUGGAGUGGUACUAUCUGUCCAAACAUUAUGAAAAAACUUGAAAAGAUGAUCAAUGAGUCAGCUCAUUGCACUGCCAUAUCUAAUGGCAACAACUGCUUUGAAGUGACACAAAGAGUGCAAUAUAGAUUCAAAGUUGAUUUAACCCAAGGGCGGAUGCACAUUGAGCUCGGUGGGGGCCAAUGCCCCGACUCGAUUUUUGCCCCCCGUAAUACUAGGCCCAUAGUAUACGGCCUUGCCCCCACUCAGCCCAUACUUUUUGCCCCCACUCAUUUAUUUUUUCUGGUUAUUUUACAAACAAAGCCCGUAUGUGAGAAAGAGAAACAAGUCAACCCAUAUGGCUUGGACAUGUAUGAACUACCAGCUUCGCACGAAGCGGAAGUGUCGCCUUCCGCUCGUGAAUCUGGUGAGAAAGAGAAACAAGUCCGGACGCGACCCGCCGCCUGUCUCUCCCGCCCUCGCCAGCUACCUUCAAGCUCUGGUAAUUGCCGAUUCUCCAUUGAUCCAGGUUUGUACACGCUGCCAUUCUUUGCUCCUUGCGCUUUUAAUUAA